UCCCUGGAGGACUAGUGGUUAGUUCUCAGCGCUCUCAGCACCGCGGCCUGGGUUUGAUUCCUGGCCAGGGAA